rnacentral:rRNA from 1 species
UACAGAGGGUGCAAGCGUUAAUCGGAAUUACUGGGCGUAAAGCGUGCGUAGACGGUUAUGUAAGUCAGGUGUGAAAGCCCCGGGCUCAACCUGGGAAUGCCAUUUGAGACUGCAUAGCUAGGGUACGGAAGAGGGAAGCGGAAUUUCAGGUGUAGCGGUGAAAUGCGUAGAUAUCUGAAGGAACACCAGUGGCGAAAGCGGCUUCCUGGUCCAGUACCGACGUUCAGGCACGAAAGCGUGGGGAGCAAACAGG